GGAGAGAUGGCUGAGCGGCUGAAAGCGGCACCCUGCUAAGGUGUUAUACUCGUUAAGGGUAUCGAGGGUUCGAAUCCCUCUCUCUCCGCCA
rnacentral:tRNA from 1 species